UUCCCUUCUAGGGUCUAGUUUUCGGGUUUCGACCCGUUAACUGAAUGAUUCUUCCACAGUGACACUUAUAGAAGCCUAUGUGCCCUCGCAAGAGGCUAUACCGCGACUCUAAACUAAGGGUAACUUUGCAAGUCGUUCGAGAGAGCGGCAACACAAUCGAAAUGCGGGGAUCUCCUAAAGCUUAAAGGUACCAACCUGUGGUGGAAACGCCAUAGGGGCCUAUGUUAACUGUAUAGGGUACGGUAAAAAUCCUUAAGAUAUUACAAUGGAUAAUCCGCAGCAAGACCCCUAAAAGUUUCGUCCGCGAGCUCACGGGGAAUGUUCACAGACUAAGUGAUUGUGGGCCAUGUAAGAACUGGUCUAAGAUAUAGUCGGUCCUGGUGAGAAAUUACUAGGUAUUAAAGUCAAAUAUCCCUUGAUAAGAUUUAAAAAACGUUCCGUAGGUGAACCUGCGGAAGGAUCAUUAAAGAAUGCCCCGUUUUUUGAAAUGGGUUCUAUUCCCAAACCGUGUAUACAUACCUUUGUUGCUUUGGCAGGCCGCCCUCGGGCGUCGGCUCACGCUGAUCGCGCUUGCCAGAGGACCCAAACUCGUUUGUUUAGUGAUGUCUGAGUACUAUAUAAUAGUUAAAACUUUCAACAACGGAUCUCUUGGUUCUGGCAUCGAUGAAGAACGCAGCGAAAUGCGAUAAGUAAUGUGAAUUGCAGAAUUCAGUGAAUCAUCGAAUCUUUGAACGCACAUUGCGCCCCUUGGUAUUCCGAGGGGCAUGCCUGUUCGAGCGUCAUUAUGACCACUCAAGCCUAGCUUGGUAUUGGGGUUCGCGGUCUCGCGGCCCUUAAAACCAGUGGCGGUGCCAUCUGGCUCUAAGCGUAGUAAUUUAUCUCGCUAUUGGGUCCGGUGGUUGCUUGCCAACAACCCUCAACUUCUAAGGUUGACCUCGGAUCAGGUAGGGAUACCCGCUGAACUUAAGCAUAUCAAUAAGCGGAGGAAAAGAAACCAACAGGGAUUGCCUCAGUAACGGCGAGUGAAGCGGCAACAGCUCAAAUUUGAAAUCUGGCUCUUUCAGGGUCCGAGUUGUAAUUUGUAGAAGAUGCUUUGAGUGUAGCUCCGGUCUAAGUUCCUUGGAACAGGACGUCAUAGAGGGUGAGAAUCCCGUAUGUGACUGGGUGCUUUCGCUCGUGUAAAGCUCUUUCGACGAGUCGAGUUGUUUGGGAAUGCAGCUCAAAAUGGGUGGUAAAUUUCAUCUAAAGCUAAAUAUUGGCCAGAGACCGAUAGCGCACAAGUAGAGUGAUCGAAAGAUGAAAAGCACUUUGGAAAGAGAGUUAAACAGUACGUGAAAUUGUUGAAAGGGAAGCGCUUGCAACCAGACUUGCGCGCUGUUGAUCAUCCGAGCUUCUGCCCGGUGCACUCGACAGCGUUCAGGCCAGCAUCGGUUUUGGUGGGCGGAUAAAGGCCUUGGGAAUGUAGCUUCUUUCGGGGAGUGUUAUAGCCCUCGGUGCAAUGCGCCCUACCGGGACCGAGGACCGCGCUUCGGCUAGGAUG
rnacentral:rRNA from 1 species